UGAUUAGCUGGUUGGUGAGGUAACGGCUCACCGAAGGCGACGAUCAGUAGCCGGCUUGAGAGAGUGAACGGCCACAUUGGGACUGAGACACGGCCCAGACUCCUACGGGAGGCAGCAGUGGGGAAUAUUGCACAAUGGGGGGAACCCUGAUGCAGCGACGCCGCGUGAGUGAAGAAGUAUCUCGGUAUGUAAAGCUCUAUCAGCAGGGAAGAUAAUGACGGUACCUGACUAAGAAGCCCCGGCUAACUACGUGCCAGCAGCCGCGGUAAUACGUAGGGGGCAAGCGUUAUCCGGAAUUACUGGGUGUAAAGGGUGCGUAGGUGGUAUGGCAAGUCAGAAGUGAAAACCCAGGGCUUAACUCUGGGACUGCUUUUGAAACUGUCAGACUGGAGUGCAGGAGAGGUAAGCGGAAUUCCUAGUGUAGCGGUGAAAUGCGUAGAUAUUAGGAGGAACAUCAGUGGCGAAGGCGGCUUACUGGA
rnacentral:rRNA from 1 species